rnacentral:rRNA from 1 species
GACGAACCGUGCGAACGUUAUUCGGAAUCACUGGGCUUAAAGGGCGCGUAGGCGGGCGGACAAGUCGGGGGUGAAAUCGUUCGGCCCAACCGGACAAGGGCCCCCGAUACUGGCCGUCUCGAGGGAGGUAGGGGUCGAUGGAACUUCCGGUGGAGCGGUGAAAUGCGUAGAUAUCUGGAGGAACACCGGUGGCGAAGGCGGCGUCCUGGACCAACACUGACACUGAUGAGCGAAAGCCAGGGGAGCAAACGGG